AGAGAAGGCCAUAGCUCAGUGGUGGACCAUCUGCUUUACAUGCAGAAGGUCCCAGGUCCAAUCUCUGGCAUCUCUA